CUAAGUUCGGGGGCAAUCCCAGUCCCGAUCUCCAACCCUUUGUGAACAUAUCUUGUUGCUUCGGGGGCGACCCUGCCGUUCGCGGCAUUCCCCCCGGAGGUCAUCAAAACACUGCAUUAUUACGUCGGAGUAAAAAGUUAAUUUAAUA
rnacentral:misc_RNA from 1 species